CAUAGCGACUAUCGUGGCAUAUCAAUAAGCGGAGGAAAAGAAACUAACAAGGAUUCCCUUAGUAACGGCGAGUGAAGCGGGAAGAGCUCAAAUUUGAAAUCUUCAAGGUUCUACCCUGACGAAUUGUAGUUUAUAGAAGUGUUUUCUGUUAGUGGAGUGGCAAAAGUUCUUUGGAAUAGGACAUCAUAGAGGGUGAGAAUCCCGUAUUUGGUCAUUCCUCCUAGCGUUGUGAUACACUUUCAACGAGUCGGAUUGUUUGGGAAUGCAGUCCAAAAUGGGUGGUAAAUUUCAUCUAAAGCUAAAUAUUGGCGAGAGACCGAUAGCGAACAAGUACCGUGAGGGAAAGAUGAAAAGAACUUUGAAAAGAGAGUUAAACAGUACGUGAAAUUGUCAAAAGGGAAGCGUUUGACACCAGUGUUGUUUUUCCGAAAAUCAAUUACGAAUGUUUUGUUUUGAGGAGUUAUGACUUCAUCGGCUUGCUCCUUUCUUUAUGAAACUUUCUUAAUGCACUUUUCGGUUAACAAGUCAACAUCAAUUUCUUUUGUUGUAAAAGGGUAUGAGGAAGGUGGCUUUCUUUUCGGAGAAAGUGUUUAUAGCCUUGUGCCUCUGCAAUCGGAGAGAUUGAGGUCUGCAGCGUAGAUCCUUCGGGGUUAGAUAGCGUUUGUGCUAAGUUAUAGCUUUUCAUAGACAACUUGUUGACUAUGUUUAGUCUUGUAGCUUACUCGCUUACUGCUAUUUUACCUACGCUUAGGAUGUUGACGAGACUGUCGAUCUC
rnacentral:rRNA from 1 species